CCCUGUAGACGAGCUGGAGCUACAGAUGGCGGAGGAAAUUAGAGUCUGCACGCUAUGAUCAGGAUCAGAGCUAAAACCCCCAAAACAGCCGGGUUCCCCUCAGGUGCAGGUUUCUAAUCAUCCAGGGGGGAUCUGCUCUCCCUAAACUUUUAAUUCUUCCACAGCCAGGCAUCGAUUACAGCGAUGCCACAGCGAGACAACAGACUCCAAGUGUCUGCCAAUCCACAACAAACGCAGCCCCGCAAUCCACACAAACCAUCCCAUCCGCCCCUCCCAUUUACACUGUUACAGCAGGCAGGCGGCCCACCAACCGAGCCAACAAAUUAAAGUUUAAAAAUGUGCAGAAGAGACUUUUUAUCAGCAGAAAUACUUCAGGAUAUUUCAGCAAAGAUUGUGCACAUAUUUCCCCCGUGACGUCCUUCAAAUGCAGAAAAAUAAUGUGUUUUUGUGUUUCAGAGUUCAGAUUCAAAAUGAAGAAAAAGGUGCUUAACUUGGCAUCAAAUUCAGCAAAAUGUCACUUUGUUAAAUGUCUGUUUGCGUAUGUAAGAUGACACAAAUCACACAAAUCCACCUGUUUUUCCUCAGAGUCUUCGUUUCCCCACUUUCUGUGCUUGUUCGUGUUUUUUUGUCUUUGUUCUGAAGCUGAAAAUCUCACAGACUGUGACUUGAGUCAGCAGCAAACAGCACAUGUUUCUGAGGGGGUGCUGUGAGGAUUUUGUCUGUUACCACAGCAAGAACAGUCGAAUGGGAGCAGCGGGAGUGGAGCCGAGUUGGAAACGGUGGCCGUGGAUGAGGCCUGGAAAACGUCCACAUUAAACUGGCAGAAACGGCUUCUUCUUCUUCUUCUCGGGAUUUUGACCUUUUUGCACACAAAAGGUCACCAUGAUGUAAAGCUUCC